CCCGGGGAUGGCUGCAGUCGAGAAUAUUUAGCAGAGGGGGAGACCCCGAUGAUGCGUCGCUGCAAGGGUGAUGGAGGCAUUAGGGUGGUAAACCUGUCUGUUCAGGGAUGAACUAAGCGUGGUAGAUAUCGCAGCGUUACAGAGGUUUCAGUAGCAGAAUGCGCCAGUUAAGUAGGCGCCAGCAGAUGCGGUAAUAUGUAGGCGGCAAGCGUGGUCCGGACUCACUGGAUGUAAAGCGCGUGCAGGCGGUGGGGUAAGUCAGAGAUGAAAGGCUUCGGUUCAACCGAGCCAUAGGGCAUGAUAUACCUUCACAUGAGUUUAGAAGAGGAAAGUGGAAUGUAUGGUGUCAGCGUGGAAUGGCAAGAUAUCAUAUAGAACACCCCAGGGGAGUUCGGCUUUGUGGUUUACAUUUCACCUCUUGCGCGGGAAUUCCGGGAGCAUCCGGGAUUAGAUACCCCGC
rnacentral:rRNA from 1 species